GCGCCGAGCUUCAAACCCGGCGCGCCGGCGAUGCCGCCCUCGGGGGU
rnacentral:tRNA from 17 species